GUUUACCAUUAUCGGAUUAUUGGGCGUAAGGGCGCGUAGGCGGAUUUCCAAGUCAGAUGUGAAAUUCCGAAGCUCAACUUCGGAGCUGCAUUUGAAACUGGAGACCUAGAGGGAUGGCGGAGAAAACGGAAUUCCACGUGUAGCGGUGAAAUGCGUAGAUAUGUGGAGGAACACCUGUGGCGAAAGCGGUUUUCUAGCUUAUACCUGACGCUGAGGCGCGAGAGCAAGGGGAGCAAACAGGAUUAGAUACCCUGGUAGUCCUUGCCGUAAACGAUGUAUACUUGAUGUAGUUAGGCUCAACCCUGACUGUGUCGAAGCGAACGCGAUAAGUAUACCGCCUGAGGAGUACGCUCGCAAGGGUGAAACUCAAAAGAAUUGACGGGGGCCCACACAAG
rnacentral:rRNA from 1 species